CUGUUUGCUAAGUUAGGUGAUACACAGCUGGAGCAGAUCGGUGAUUACAAUGAGAUAGGUCAGGCAGACUGCUUCAGGCAGCAGACGCUGUGGAAGCAGCAAUAAGGCAUUGAAGAAUAGAGCUAUGGAUCCUAAGGAUCCUUUCCUGUACUGCCAAGCCGCUUUUCAGGACUCAGAAGUCUCCAUGGAUUUGAUUACUGAGGAUAUACAGACAUCGCUGAGAGUGAGGCUUCUAUCUUUAUACCCUUUUACCUCAGACCUCAAGGGAAGUGAUAGCUAGCAUUGCUCAUCAAUUCCAAGUCUAUGACUAUUAUAAAAACCAAAGUUUUUCAAGUGUUAUGAAAUGUGGUGAAACCUACCCCAAGAGAGUUCAUCUGGAAACCACCUCCAAUGUGACUAUGUGACAGGUCUACAGGACUAUUAUGUGCCAUGGCAAGAAUGUGCUUCUUGUUAUGUUUAAUAUAUAUCUCACUUUUCUCCCCAAAUUUGGACCCAAGAUGGCUUACAGUUUUUAAAAAGCCAUAUGGCUAAAAAGUGAACAUUAAAGUGAAACUAUUCACUAUAUUAAAAUGAUUUAGAACUGUACUUUAAAAAGAUAAAAUACAACAAAAAAAUUAAAAAUCC
rnacentral:lncRNA from 11 species